rnacentral:rRNA from 1 species
GGGCUUGACAUCCCACGAACCUGCCCGAAAAGGUGGGGUGCCCGCAAGGGAGCGUGGAGACAGGUGGUGCAUGGCUGUCGUCAGCUCGUGUCGUGAGAUGUUGGGUUAAGUCCCGCAACGAGCGCAACCCUCACCCCUAGUUGCCACCGGGUUAAGCCGAGCACUCAAGGGGAACUGCCAGCGUCAAGCUGGAGGAAGGCGGGGAUGACGUCAAGUCAUCAUGCCCCUUACGCCCUGGGCUACACACGUGCUACAAUGGCCAGUACAAAGGGACGCGAGACUGCGAAGCGGAGCUAAUCCCAAAAAGCUGGUCUAAGUUCAGAUUGCAGUCUGCAACUCGACUGCAUGAAGGAGGAAUCGCUGGUAAUCGCGCAUCAGCCCGGCGCGGUGAAUACGUUCCCGGGCCUUGUACACACCGCCCGUCACACCACGAAAGCUGUCUGUACUCGAAGUCGCUGAG